rnacentral:rRNA from 1 species
CCUACGGGAGGCUGCAGUGGGGAAUAUUGGACAAUGGGGGCAACCCUGAUCCAGCCAUGCCGCGUGUGUGAAGAAGGCCCUCGGGUUGUAAAGCACUUUCAGUGAGGAAGAACGCCUGGUGGUUAAUACCCAUCAGGAAAGACAUCACUCACAGAAGAAGCACCGGCUAACUCCGUGCCAGCAGCCGCGGUAAUACGGAGGGUGCGAGCGUUAAUCGGAAUUACUGGGCGUAAAGCGCGCGUAGGUGGCUUGAUAAGCCGGUUGUGAAAGCCCCGGGCUCAACCUGGGAACGGCAUCCGGAACUGUCAAGCUAGAGUGCAGGAGAGGAAGGUAGAAUUCCAGGUGUAGCGGUGAAAUGCGUAGAGAUCGGGAGGAAUACCAGUGGCGAAGGCGGCCUUCUGGACUGACACUGACCCUGAGGUGCGAAAGCGUGGGUAGCAAACAGGAUUAGAUACCCCGGUAGUC